CUCGGAGCGGGAGCUUCCCGCGUGCGGCAGGUCCCGCCGGGAGUCAGACCUCCGUGCGAGCAGGACGUUUCCAGGAACUGGCCGUGCCUCGUGAUCCAGCCCUUUGCAGCCGGCGCCAGCUGUGGUCGUUCUUGCCCAAACCCUCUGAACGAACAUGGAAGAAGAAAAACAAACAUUUGGAAGCAAGAGAGGAAAUUCCAGCUGGACACGGGAUUCCAGAGAGCUGUGUGUAGUGUUUUCUAAAACAUGACUCAAGGGCUGAAACCACCUUGGACUUUCCUGCCCUCGCAGGGUAGCUGCCCUAUGGAAGGUGAGCAGGGAGCGCUCAUUCCCGAACAAAUCGGGCUCUUCCUUUGCUCCAUUUCUUCCCUUUCMCAAAUAAUCUUAUCAGCGGAAGGGCUUCCUCAGGUGUGUCCCUGUCAGGUGCUUCCCGAGCCGUUUCUGCAGGUGAUAAAGGAGGCAUCUGUGCRUCCCGGGGCCCUCUGCCUUGUCCCGCUGCAGCGAGCUGGACGUGUCCACGUGUCGGAGGUCUAGCGCGACGCGGCCGUCACGCCGUCAUGCGCUGGGGUUUCACCGUGUCAGCACAAACCGGCCUGCCCUGUGGCCGGGUUCAGAACUUCCUCUCUGCAGAUAUUGCCCAGGAGCUGUGUAAAAGUCAUGCUCUCAGCCUGCGGUCAGGAAACGGCCCUCAUUCGGACAGAUCACG